AUUUUCACCGAGACCUACGAAGAGCAGUCACCGACCCUGUGCCCAGACACCUUGUGUAGAUCUGUGCUUAGCAAACUCAGAAGGCCCUGUCACCACCAGGAAGGAAGAGACCCCACGACUGAGGGCAGUGGGCUAUGAGAUUUGUGACCCUUUCCUCUGCCUGCCUCUGCCCCUGCCCAUUGGGACCCUGCUGGACCAGGCAUCCAUCCUAUGGAAAUCUCUAUGAAGCGUCGACCUCCCUGCCCCCCAGGCAUUGGACAGGGGCCAGGAAAUGGAAUGAAAGCAGCCACUCUCUGAAGAGCUGGAGACCAUCAUCUGCCUCUGGAAGCCCAGAGAACCUCGGCUCAGACAGAAGGACAGAGACUGAGGGAAGGGAGAAAGACUGUGACAGAGAAGCAGAGGAGGGUGACAGAGUCAGGGAGGAACAAAACAGCCUGCAGUGGGAGCAGAGACAGAAAUGUGGGGGACCCACAGGGAGGGGAGGGAGGGGAAGGGAGGGACGGAGGGAGGGACAACUGCCGUCCAAGUGGCUGUGAGAGCCUGGGGCUGGGGAGAGGCACCCUCCUCCUGUUGGCUUCUCAUACAGUCUCUAUCAGGGGACCCAGGACACAAGAAGCAAAUUCAUCUUUGGGUCCACCCUUCAGCUCUAGAAGUCUAGGGCCUGGCCAGGUCCUCUGAAGGGGUCUCUGGCCCCAGGCAGCUUCCUGCCCCCCUGCGUGGCCCCCCAAGCCCUUCUCAAGAGCCCUUCAGUAAAUAAAUUCACUGGAAGACAUCAAUGAUGGGUCAUAGGAGGUGUUCCUAGGGGAGAAAAUGACAUUUAGUUUUUAGCUCACUUGGAGCCAUUUGCUUUAAGAAGCACCUCUUGGCCAGGCGCAGUGACUCACGCCUGUAAUCCCAACACUUUGGGAGGCCGAGGUGGGCGGAUCACCUGAGGUCAGGAGUUCAAGACCAGCCUGGUCAGCAUGGUGAAACCCUGUCUCUACUAAAAAUACAAAAAUUAGUUGGGUGUGGUGGCAUGUGCCUGUAAUCCCAGCUGCUUGGGAGGCUGAGCUGAGAGAAUCGCUUGAACCCAGGAGGUGGAGGCUGCAGUGAGCCGAGACCACACCACUGCAUUCCAGCCUGGGUGACACAGUGAGACUAUGUCUCAAAAACAAAAAACAAAAAACAAAAACGAAGCACCUCUUGAGAGAGCUUUGCAUGCAGAUGUCACAGGCAAAAUGUCUCAAGUUGUGGGGAAUGUGGCAGUGGACUUCUGGGGCCAGGCUGAGGCCCCCACGUGCCAUCCCCCUUGGGAGCAGGGCAGGGUGGCUGGGUUGACAGAUGUGCAGAGAAGGAGAGAAGUGGGGGCAAUGCCUUCUCUCUGAUGGUCAGCUGGCGGGAAAGGCUCCAGGGGCUUCUGAGGAGAGACCCUAAGAGGAGUCUGGAUGGGCCUCGGCUGGGGGAGGCUGGUGCUGACCUGGCACCUGGG
rnacentral:lncRNA from 1 species